AUACUGUUUUUCCACAUGGGGCAAUUGAAAUUAAAGACCCAAAGAACGGUGUCACGUUUAAAGUUAAUGGUCAAAGAUCAAAGCCAUAUCUAGAGUACCAACCACAUGAAGAAGACACCGAAAUAAAUUUGAGUGACCCACCAAAUUUGAAUUGAUUUUUUUUCUUUUCGUUGAUUUGAUUUUUCUUUAUUUCUUUUUAUUAUUAUUCUUUUGCUAAUUGAAAUUAUUUUUGUGU
rnacentral:lncRNA from 1 species